GUGGGUAUAGCUCAGUGGUAGAGCACAUGCUUAGCAUGCACAAGGUCCUGGGUUCAAACCCCAGUACCUCCA
rnacentral:tRNA from 1 species